GUCUCUUUGUACGAUUAAAAAUGGAGAGUUGGGCCUGCUCGGUGAAGAAAUUUUUAACAGCUGCGGUAUUUUAACUGUACUAAGGUAGCAUAAUAAUUUGCCUUAUAAAUUGAGGCUAGUAUGAAAGGUUUGACGAAGGUUUACCUGUCUCUUUUUUAUUUAAUAGAAAUUAAUUUUUUAGUGAAAAAGCUUAAAUUCUUCAAAGGGACGAGAAGACCCUAAUGAGCUUAAAUUUUAUUUUAUUAUAUAUAUUUUAUAGUAAAAAAGAAGUUUUAGUUGGGGUGAUUAAGGAAUAAAAAACGAAUGAUGUAACUUCCUUAAAUAUAAAAUUGUUAAAUUAAGUAACCAAUUUAUAUUGCUUAUAAUAGAGUUACCAUAGGGAUAACAGCGUAAUUUAUUUAGAGAGCUCAUAUCAAAAAAUAAGAUUGCGACCUCGAUGUUGGAUUAAAGUAACCUUAAGGUGCAGUAGCUUUAGGUGGUGAAUCUGUUCGAUUUUUAAAACUUUACGUGAUCUGAGUUCAGACCGGAAUCACUAGUGCGGCCGCCUGCAGGUCGACCAUAUGGGAGAGCUCCCAACGCGUGGAGCA
rnacentral:rRNA from 1 species